rnacentral:rRNA from 1 species
AGGGUUUGAUUAUGGCUCAGAACGUACGCUGGCGGCACGCCUAAUACAUGCAAGUCGAACGAAGUAGCAAUACUUAGUGGCAGACGGGUGAGUAACAUGUAGGUAUCUACCCUUUGGCCUGGAAUAACACGAGGAAACUUGUGCUAAUACCGGAUAAGUCUUUACGGAGAAAGCUUUAUGCACCAUUGGAUGAGCCUGCACUUGAUUAGUUUGUUGGUGGGGUAAUGGCCUACCAAGACAAUGAUCAAUAGCUGAUUUGAGAGGAUGAUCAGCCACAUUGGGACUGAGACACGGCCCAAACUCCUACGGGAGGCAGCAGUAGGGAAUCUUGCACAAUGGAGGAAACUCUGAUGCAGCGAUGCCGCGUGAGUGAAGAAGGCCUUUGGGUUGUAAAGCUCUUUCGUCGGGGAAGAAAAUGACUGUACCCGAAUAAGAAGGUCCGGCUAACUUCGUGCCAGCCGCCGCGGUAAUUC